rnacentral:rRNA from 1 species
UACGGGGGGGGCAAGCGUUGUUCGGAAUUACUGGGCGUAAAGGGCCAGUAGGCGGCCAACUAAGUCCGACGUGAAAUCCCAAGGCUUAACCUUGGAACUGCGUCGGAUACUGGAUGGCUUGAAUUCGGGAGAGGGAUGCAGAAUUCCAGGUGUAGCGGUGAAAUGCGUAGAUAUCCGGAGGAACACCGGUGGCGAAGGCGGCUUCCUGGACCGACACUGACGCUGAGGCGCGAAAGCGUGGGGAGCGAACAGG